rnacentral:rRNA from 1 species
UACGGAGGAUGCAAGCGUUAUCCGGAUUUAUUGGGUUUAAAGGGCGCGUAGGCGGAAAAAUAAGUCAGUGGUGAAAGCCUGCAGCUCAACUGUAGAAUUGCCAUUGAUACUGUCUUUCUUGAGUACAUUUGAGGUGGGCGGAAUGUGUUGUGUAGCGGUGAAAUGCAUAGAGAUGGCACAGAACACCAAUUGCGAAGGCAGCUCACUAAGUUGUCACUGACGCUGAGGCGCGAAAGCGUGGGUAGCAAACAGG